rnacentral:lncRNA from 1 species
UUCAUAUUAUUAAACUUGGUCAAGGCUACUUCAACUUUUAGAUUUCAAAUUUUGUUAUUUUACGACAUCAUUUAUAUAUCUAUUAUUGGAGUGGUCUCAAAAAUAAUAAUUUUUAACGGCUAAUAUAAAGUGAAUUUGAGAUCACUUGACAGCUAGACAGAUGGUUUUCUAAAAUCACUAAAAGGUAAAUUCUUAAAAAAUUAUAUAGUUUAAGUCGUGUUCAACUGUACCAAGUGUUGAUUUGGAUUUUUUAUUGUGGGGGAAAUGAUGCAAAAGUAAACUCCUCCGUUCAGCUUAUUAUUCUUGGU